GGGCAACAAGGCUUGUGAAGGGCUUGGAGAAUAUGCCCUAUGAGGAGAGACUGAAGGAACUGGGGCUGUUUAGUCUGCAGAAAAGGAGGCUGAGGGGAGACCUUAUUGCUCUCUUCCAGUGUCUGAAAGGUGCUUACAGCGAGAGCGGGGUUGGUCUCUUCUCACUGCUGACAAGUGACAGGAUGAGGGGAAAUGGCCUCAAGUUGCACCAGGGUGGUGGUGUGGAGAAGAACAAAAUCAUCUCCAUGCUUUGCUGGGAAAGGUGCUGCUCCUUCUUCUUUGCUGGCAAAGAGAAGAGGUCUUCAAGAUUUGAGGUUCUCCUCGCCAUCAUUUCUGCAAAUGCUGAAGGCUGGAAGCUAGCUUGAAAAAAUAAAACCACAGCGUGAUCUGAAAUUCUCAUGCAAUCACAUGGCUCGCAGAGUCAGAAACCCAAAAACGCCUCCAAGUAUUAAGAUACUCCAAACAAACAACAAAGAGGUUGAGUUAACACACUCCAAAAAGCCCAAACAUUCUGCUGUUGUUAUCUGGUUCUGUCAUCGAGGUGAUAUUUCAGCCGCCUGAGACAGAUGAGAUUUCGAAGGGGGAUUUCUGAUUUGUGUUUGUUUUUAAUUUGAGGUUUGGAUCACAGCAACAGCGGCAAUUUGUUUUGUUGCGUAUUUAUGGCUGCACAUGUUUAAAAUGGUAAAUCUGCACUGACCCAUUCGACCACAAAAGCGAAACCAGCUUCUGUAUUCCCAUUCCUGAGCUGGAGAAGUAAACCCGCAGCAUGCAUGUCUAAAGUAAAUGGUAUUCUUACAGCUUUCAGAUUUGGGACCCAGAGGCUGUGGGAGUAUGUCUGAUAAUCACAGUUCUGGCUCUAUAAAUAAGGAAAUGGUUCUUCACCAGAAAGUGGCUCUGUCAAGAUGAAAGGUGUUUGUAUAAUUAUUGCCCUUCAUUAAAAUUAUAUCAUUCUAUUCAAAGCAGAAAUAAAACAUGUAAGGAGAUAAAUAAGUUCCUUUAUUUAUGGGAAAAAAAAAAAAAAAAAGAAUUGGAAGAGGAUGCUUUGAAUUAACACCAAUGAAGAUAUCUAAGUCUAAAAGACAAUUACAGACCCAGGUCACUCUGCACUGAGCACAAUGCUGCUUCUUACCUGCCUGUUUUUAUUGGAUUUGCUCCCUGUGACAAAAACAGAAAUGUUUUCUUUCAGUCUGUAAGCCUGAAAAGCAAACAUAGGUC
ensembl:lncRNA